GGGUUGUGAGGUUAAGCGACUAAGCGUACACGGUGGAUGCCCUGGCAGUCAGAGGCGAUGAAGGACGUGCUAAUCUGCGAAAAGCGUCGGUAAGGUGAUAUGAACCGUUAUAACCGGCGAUGUCCGAAUGGGGAAACCCAGUGCAAUUCGUUGCACUAUCGUUAACUGAAUACAUAGGUUAACGAGGCGAACCGGGGGAACUGAAACAUCUAAGUACCCCGAGGAAAAGAAAUCAACCGAGAUUCCCCCAGUAGCGGCGAGCGAACGGGGAGCAGCCCAGAGUCUGAAUCAGCUUGUGUGUUAGUGGAACGGUCUGGAAAGUCCGACGGUACAGGGUGAUAGUCCCGUACACCAAAAUGCACAGGUUGUGAACUCGAAGAGUAGGGCGGGACACGUGGUAUCCUGUCUGAAUAUGGGGGGACCAUCCUCCAAGGCUAAAUACUCCUGACUGACCGAUAGUGAACCAGUACCGUGAGGGAAAGGCGAAAAGAACCCCGGCGAGGGGAGUGAAAAAGAACCUGAAACCGUGUACGUACAAGCAGUGGGAGCACCUUUAUGGUGUGACUGCGUACCUUUUGUAUAAUGGGUCAGCGACUUAUAUUCUGUAGCAAGGUUAACCGUAUAGGGGAGCCGCAGGGAAACCGAGUCUUAACUGGGCGUUAAGUUGCAGGGUAUAGACCCGAAACCCGGUGAUCUAGCCAUGGGCAGGUUGAAGGUUGGGUAACACUAACUGGAGGACCGAACCGACUAAUGUUGAAAAAUUAGCGGAUGACUUGUGGCUGGGGGUGAAAGGCCAAUCAAACCGGGAGAUAGCUGGUUCUCCCCGAAAGCUAUUUAGGUAGCGCCUCGUGAACUCAUCUUCGGGGGUAGAGCACUGUUUCGGCUAGGGGGUCAUCCCGACUUACCAACCCGAUGCAAACUACGAAUACCGAAGAAUGUUAUCACGGGAGACACACGGCGGGUGCUAACGUCCGUCGUGAAGAGGGAAACAACCCAGACCGCCAGCUAAGGUCCCAAAGUCAUGGUUAAGUGGGAAACGAUGUGGGAAGGCACAGACAGCCAGGAUGUUGGCUUAGAAGCAGCCAUCAUUUAAAGAAAGCGUAAUAGCUCACUGGUCGAGUCGGCCUGCGCGGAAGAUGUAACGGGGCUAAACCAUGCACCGAAGCUGCGGCAGCGACACUAUGUGUUGUUGGGUAGGGGAGCGUUCUGUAAGCCUGCGAAGGUGACCUGUGAGGGUUGCUGGAGGUAUCAGAAGUGCGAAUGCUGACAUAAGUAACGAUAAAGCGGGUGAAAAGCCCGCUCGCCGGAAGACCAAGGGUUCCUGUCCAACGUUAAUCGGGGCAGGGUGAGUCGACCCCUAAGGCGAGGCCGAAAGGCGUAGUCGAUGGGAAACAGGUUAAUAUUCCUGUACUUGGUGUUACUGCGAAGGGGGGACGGAGAAGGCUAUGUUAGCCGGGCGACGGUUGUCCCGGUUUAAGCAUGUAGGCUGGUUAUCCAGGCAAAUCCGGAUAAUCAAGGCUGAGGUGUGAUGACGAGGCACUACGGUGCUGAAGUAACAAAUGCCCUGCUUCCAGGAAAAGCCUCUAAGCAUCAGGUAACAUCAAAUCGUACCCCAAACCGACACAGGUGGUCAGGUAGAGAAUACCAAGGCGCUUGAGAGAACUCGGGUGAAGGAACUAGGCAAAAUGGUGCCGUAACUUCGGGAGAAGGCACGCUGGUGUGUAGGUGAAGUCCCUGCGGAUGGAGCUGAGACCAGUCGAAGAUACCAGCUGGCUGCAACUGUUUAUUAAAAACACAGCACUGUGCAAACACGAAAGUGGACGUAUACGGUGUGACGCCUGCCCGGUGCCGGAAGGUUAAUUGAUGGGGUUAUCCGUAAGGAGAAGCUCUUGAUCGAAGCCCCGGUAAACGGCGGCCGUAACUAUAACGGUCCUAAGGUAGCGAAAUUCCUUGUCGGGUAAGUUCCGACCUGCACGAAUGGCGUAAUGAUGGCCAGGCUGUCUCCACCCGAGACUCAGUGAAAUUGAACUCGCUGUGAAGAUGCAGUGUACCCGCGGCAAGACGGAAAGACCCCGUGAACCUUUACUAUAGCUUGACACUGAACAUUGAGCCUUGAUGUGUAGGAUAGGUGGGAGGCUUUGAAGCGUGGACGCCAGUCUGCGUGGAGCCAACCUUGAAAUACCACCCUUUAAUGUUUGAUGUUCUAACGUGGGCCCCUAAUCGGGGUUGCGGACAGUGUCUGGUGGGUAGUUUGACUGGGGCGGUCUCCUCCCAAAGCGUAACGGAGGAGCACGAAGGUUAGCUAAUCCUGGUCGGACAUCAGGAGGUUAGUGCAAUGGCAUAAGCUAGCUUGACUGCGAGCGUGACGGCGCGAGCAGGUGCGAAAGCAGGUCAUAGUGAUCCGGUGGUUCUGAAUGGAAGGGCCAUCGCUCAACGGAUAAAAGGUACUCCGGGGAUAACAGGCUGAUACCGCCCAAGAGUUCAUAUCGACGGCGGUGUUUGGCACCUCGAUGUCGGCUCAUCACAUCCUGGGGCUGAAGUAGGUCCCAAGGGUAUGGCUGUUCGCCAUUUAAAGUGGUACGCGAGCUGGGUUUAGAACGUCGUGAGACAGUUCGGUCCCUAUCUGCCGUGGGCGCUGGAGAAUUGAGGGGGGCUGCUCCUAGUACGAGAGGACCGGAGUGGACGCAUCACUGGUGUUCGGGUUGUCAUGCCAAUGGCACUGCCCGGUAGCUAAAUGCGGAAGAGAUAAGUGCUGAAAGCAUCUAAGCACGAAACUUGCCCCGAGAUGAGUUCUCCCUGAGACUAUAAGUCUCCUGAAGGAACGUUGAAGACGACGACGUUGAUAGGCCGGGUGUGUAAGCGCAGCGAUGCGUUGAGCUAACCGGUACUAAUGAACCGUGAGGCUUAACCUUACAACGCCGAAG
rnacentral:rRNA from 1 species